rnacentral:rRNA from 1 species
UCCGCAGGCGGGCAAUUAAGUCAGAGGUGAAAUCCCACAGCUCAACUGUGGAACUGCCUUUGAUACUGGUUGUCUUGAGUUACAGUGAAGUAGAUAGAAUAUGUAGUGUAGCGGUGAAAUGCAUAGAUAUUACAUAGAAUACCGAUUGCGAAGGCAGUCUACUAACUGUAUACUGACGCUAAUGGACGAAAGCGUGGGGAGCGAACAGGAUUAGAUACCCUGGUAGUCC